rnacentral:lncRNA from 1 species
AAUGCAAAGAUAGGAAUUCUAUUAAAGAUCUGUCUUAGAUAGGGGUGGAAACGAGCCGAGCUCGAGCGAGCUUAUGUUGGCUCAAAUUCGGCUUGAAAUUAAUUUCGAGCCUAAAUCUAGGCUCAAGCUCGGCUUGAAAUUAAUUCGAGCCGAGCUCGAGCGAGCCUAAUUUCGAGUCGAGCCGAGCUCGAGCUCUAAACGAGCCGAUUGAAAUUCUCGACAUUAUAUAAUCAAUAGUUUAAUUUUUAUAGAACAUUACCUAAAAUUUGAUGCAACAUAUCCAAUAGUUCAAAAUACAAAAUAAUUACAAGAAAUAUGAGCUAGGAUGCCUGUCUGAUCGGGUGAGGGUCAAAGAAAGAGAGAGAAAGAGAGAGGAGAAAAAAAAUAGGAAUUUGAAAAUUUGAAUGUUAUCAUGGUUUAGGAUUAUGUACAAAAGUGAAAGUCUGAAAGAGAGAGUGUGUUAUGUAAAUUUAGAGUUGGGUUCAAUUGCACGGUUGUACUUGUUGGAUUUAUUUUAUGGGCCAACAAUAAUGGCCAAAAUUAAAUUAAAGCCUAUAUAUAAUUAAAAUACAUUAUAUAUAUAUAUAGAAAUAGGCUACUAUACUAUCUAUAGUACCGGAGCUCUGAUACAAUAGUCUUGUUUUCGAUCUUAGGGUGUUCAAAUUAACGAUCCACACCGUUAAAUAUGAUCUAAGAUAUAUGAAGUUUUUAGGAAUAAAAUUUUAGUUUUUUUUUACAUCGUUUACUUAGUAAAUAAAUUAUGUCAAAAUGGACGGUGAAAAUUGAAUAAUCUUUAAAAUUGAGUAUAGAAAUUUUAAAUUCAAAAUCAAGAAUGUUAACCUUAAUCUAGAUAGUUUAAAGUAUUUUCUAUCAAAAUUUGAAGAAAUUUAGAUUUUUCUACACCAUUAAACUCCAAACUAGCCAUAGUAGCCAUUGAAAAUUGACAAUUUUGAAAUGUUUUGAUCAUAAAGUAAACUAUGUCAAAAAAAUAUAAAAUUUUAUUUCUAAAAACUUUAAAUACCCUAAAUUAGUUUUAACGGUAUGGAUCGUUGAUUUGAACACCCUAAAAUNN